rnacentral:rRNA from 1 species
CCUACGGGAGGCAGCAGUGAGGAAUAUUGGUCAAUGGACGAGAGUCUGAACCAGCCAAGUAGCGUGAAGGAUGACUGCCCUAUGGGUUGUAAACUUCUUUUAUAAAGGAAUAAAACGAGGCACGUGUGCCUUUUUGCAUGUACUUUAUGAAUAAGGAUCGGCUAACUCCGUGCCAGCAGCCGCGGUAAUACGGAGGAUACGAGCGUUAUCCGGAUUUAUUGGGUUUAAAGGGAGCGUAGAUGGGUUGUUAAGUCAGUUGUGAAAGUUUGCGGCUCAACCGUAAAAUUGCAAUUGAGACUGGCAGUCUUGAGUACAGUUGAGGUAGGCGGAAUUCGUGGUGUAGCGGUGAAAUGCUUAGAUAUCUCGAAGAACCCCGAUUGCGAAGGCAGCUUACUGAGCUGUGACUGACGUUGAUGCUCGAAAGUGUGGGUAGCAAACAGGAUUAGAUACCCCAGUAGUC